rnacentral:misc_RNA from 1 species
UGUUCAUAUUAUUUUCAUCUGGUGCCUCUUUUCCAAGUAGUUGUUCUACUCUGCAUCUAGUCGACCUUCUAUUAAGCUCCUCCCACUAGCCCUUUUUAUAGCCAUAGGAAGUGAGUGCAACCUGGUGAGUAUGUUACUUGGUUCUCUCUAUCAGGCUUUGGCUCAGAUGAUUCUUGAUGCCCCUCUGAGUAAAGUGAAUGGGAUCUUUUGGGUGGUUCAGCUGUGGCUUUUCCCAUACUUUCCUUAAUUAUCAAGUUCUCCUCUAACUCCUUUGAUCAAGA